UACGUAGGGUGCAAGCGUUGUUCGGAAUUACUGGGCGUAAAGCGCACGUAGGCGGUUUUUUAAGUCAGAGGUGAAAGCCCGGAGCUUAACUCCGGAAUUGCCUUUGAGACUGGGAGACUUGAAUCCAGGAGAGGUGAGUGGAAUUCCGAGUGUAGAGGUGAAAUUCGUAGAUAUUCGGAAGAACACCAGUGGCGAAGGCGGCUCACUGGACUGGUAUUGACGCUGAGGUGCGAAAGCGUGGGGAGCAAACAGG
rnacentral:rRNA from 1 species